rnacentral:rRNA from 1 species
AUUGAACGCUGGCGGAAUGCUUUACACAUGCAAGUCGAGCGGCAGCGCGGGGCAACCUGGCGGCGAGCGGCGAACGGGUGAGUAAUACAUCGGAACGUGCCCAGACGUGGGGGAUAACUACUCGAAAGAGUAGCUAAUACCGCAUAUGAUCUAAGGAUGAAAGCGGGGGAUCGCAAGACCUCGUCCGUUUGGAGCGGCCGAUGGCAGAUUAGGUAGUUGGUGGGGUAAAGGCUUACCAAGCCUGCGAUCUGUAGCUGGUCUGAGAGGACGACCAGCCACACUGGGACUGAGACACGGCCCAGACUCCUACGGGAGGCAGCAGUGGGGAAUUUUGGACAAUGGGCGAAAGCCUGAUCCAGCCAUUCCGCGUGCAGGAUGAAGGCCCUCGGGUUGUAAACUGCUUUUGUACAGAACGAAAAAGCUCUGGUUAAUACCUGGAGUCCAUGACGGUACUGUAAGAAUAAGCACCGGCUAACUACGUGCCAGCAGCCGCCGUAA